GUAUUAAAUAAAGCUUUUGUUGUUUUUUUCAGUUGUUUUCCUAUAAUGGAUAAGAGUUGGAUGAUAAAAUAUAGAUAUAGUGAUGAUUAUAAAAAUGGAGUCUCACAAUUUCUUAAGUUUGUAUUUUUUUAAUGCAUCCUAUGGUGGCAAGUUAUUGUGCCAUUACAUACGUUGUGUUAAUUGUUCGUUACAAACUUAUGAGGAUGCAAAAAUACACUUGAUAUGUGAUGGCUUUCUAAGAGGAUGCGAUGACGGAAUCAAGUGGGAGCCAAUAAGAGGAGGUAGAAAAGCUAAAAGGGGAAUUAGAACGUAUGAAAAACAAAAUGGAUGAAGUUUUCAAUUCUACCGUUACAGAGAUGCGAGAGGAAAUGGAUCACCUAAAAACACUACUAUCAAAUACUCAAGUAUACCAAUUUGAUAACAAG
rnacentral:lncRNA from 1 species